rnacentral:miRNA from 2 species
AAGCUGGGGGAUGGGCAAUACU